UUUAUUGCUUGCCUGUGAGGACUCGGACAGGAGCGGCGGCGGAGGCACGGAGCCCCGGAAAUGUUCGGAGUCGAGCGACUGCGAUGCGAUCCGAAGCAACAUCCGAGCCGCUGCCAGGAGCGACUCCUAACACCCCCCACGGAGCCUGCCUGGCCAAGGGCGAAGCUGCGGCGUAGGGGCGCCGUCGCACAGAGCGGGAGGCGCCAUGCGCGUGCGCGCCGCAGAUCGCACGGAGGCGAUCCCGCGAUUGCAAUUUGGGACGGUGAAGAACGGAGAACUGAAGACGGACUGGGAGGGAAAAGGCAAAAACCAAGAUUAAAAAAAAAGAUGAUUACCUCCUUGAAGAAGACACAUAGAGACUGCUUAUUAGUCGAGUACUUAUUCAGCUCCAACACCUGGUGUGAAUCUCCGACGCACAUGCUUGCAAUCUCACGUGGCUGCGUGCAGACGAUGAUCAAGCUGCCGUUCUUCCUAUCAGGCAGGUAGGUCCUGAUGGCGUCCCACUGUCCCAUGUUGGACACGUUUUCCAGGAUGACUAGGCAAGAGUUUGUAUAGAAUUGAGUCAUCAAGCUCCGGAGGGCCUCGUGGGGAUUUAAGGGAUCUGUCAAUUUCAACCAGCCACGGCAUGGGAAGAGUUGGCAGGUAUCGGGGGCUAGGUAGGCCUUCCUGACGGCGAGCAUGAAGCCAAGAUCAAGAUCACCACCUGUCCCCCACACCGAGAUCACUCGAAGGUCAUCACUGCCCUCCUUGGUGAUGAACUGGGUUUCAUGGAUGUCGAGAAGAUGACUAUAGGAGACAUUGUCACCAAGAUGGCGGAUUGAUUAUUUACUUACAGCUAGCUUGCAACCUGAUGUGAUUGCUUCUACCGUUGAAACCACAGUACCAGUAGAAGCAAGAGUAUACUGUUGUUACUGCCUCUUGCAAAAGUAAUCAAUGUGUCCUAGGUAA